CAGAGAUGGCUUUAGGGAUGGAGAUGCUGCUUGAGGAGCCCGCAGAUAAGUUUUUCUAUUAAAAAAGAUAGGCGUUAGUGUAUUUCUUUAGGGAUUAUAAGUAGUGAAAAUACGGAGAUACUGCUUUGCAUUAAGUUCUUAGAUAAAUUUUAGGGAAAAUAUGAAGACUUAAAGAGUAGUUGGAGAAAGGAAGAGGGAAGAAAAAAGAUAAUUUUAGAACCUGAGGGAGGUUAAGAGCUGAAAUUUUUUCAUGGAGUGAAAAAUUUAAAAGAAUUGAUGAGCUAGGACUGCAAUGUCUGGAUUUUUUUUUUAAAGCCUUAACUUGAAGGGCAACCUUUUACCUUAACAUUAAAACGUUGGGUUACGUAAAUCGAACCUAAACGUUUUAAAAGGUUGAGUUGUAGGUGAUUAAAAUACUACAAAGGCCAUCUUAAGAUUUAACUGAAGGUGGUUUCAGAAAUAAUGCCUUCAGAUUCACGGCGCAGUAAAAAUGGCGUCAUUUGAAGCCUGCUUGAUACUAAGGCUUUGUUUGGCUAA
rnacentral:lncRNA from 1 species